rfam:Edhazardia aedis TSNM 41457 supercont1.21, whole genome shotgun sequence.
UCUCCUUUAGUACAGUGGUUAGUAUACCAGCCUGUCACGUUGGUGACCCGAGUUCAAUUCUCGGAAGGAGAG